ACUAAGCGUACACGGUGGAUGCCCUGGCAGUCAGAGGCGAUGAAGGACGUGCUAAUCUGCGAAAAGCGUCGGUAAGGUGAUAUGAACCGUUAUAACCGGCGAUGUCCGAAUGGGGAAACCCAGUGUGUUUCGACACACUAUCAUUAACUGAAUCCAUAGGUUAAUGAGGCGAACCGGGGGAACUGAAACAUCUAAGUACCCCGAGGAAAAGAAAUCAACCGAGAUUCCCCCAGUAGCGGCGAGCGAACGGGGAGGAGCCCAGAGCCUGAAUCAGUGUGUGUGUUAGUGGAAGCGUCUGGAAAGGCGCGCGAUACAGGGUGACAGCCCCGUACACAAAAAUGCACAUGCUGUGAGCUCGAUGAGUAGGGCGGGACACGUGGUAUCCUGUCUGAAUAUGGGGGGACCAUCCUCCAAGGCUAAAUACUCCUGACUGACCGAUAGUGAACCAGUACCGUGAGGGAAAGGCGAAAAGAACCCCGGCGAGGGGAGUGAAAAAGAACCUGAAACCGUGUACGUACAAGCAGUGGGAGCCCUGAUUUAUCAGGGUGACUGCGUACCUUUUGUAUAAUGGGUCAGCGACUUAUAUUCUGUAGCAAGGUUAACCGAAUAGGGGAGCCGGAGGGAAACCGAGUCUUAACUGGGCGUUAAGUUGCAGGGUAUAGACCCGAAACCCGGUGAUCUAGCCAUGGGCAGGUUGAAGGUUGGGUAACACUAACUGGAGGACCGAACCGACUAAUGUUGAAAAAUUAGCGGAUGACUUGUGGCUGGGGGUGAAAGGCCAAUCAAACCGGGAGAUAGCUGGUUCUCCCCGAAAGCUAUUUAGGUAGCGCCUCGUGAAUUCAUCUCCGGGGGUAGAGCACUGUUUCGGCAAGGGGGUCAUCCCGACUUACCAACCCGAUGCAAACUGCGAAUACCGGAGAAUGUUAUCACGGGAGACACACGGCGGGUGCUAACGUCCGUCGUGAAGAGGGAAACAACCCAGACCGCCAGCUAAGGUCCCAAAGUCAUGGUUAAGUGGGAAACGAUGUGGGAAGGCCCAGACAGCCAGGAUGUUGGCUUAGAAGCAGCCAUCAUUUAAAGAAAGCGUAAUAGCUCACUGGUCGAGUCGGCCUGCGCGGAAGAUGUAACGGGGCUAAACCAUGCACCGAAGCUGCGGCAGCGACACUGUGUGUUGUUGGGUAGGGGAGCGUUCUGUAAGCCUGUGAAGGUGUGCUGUGAGGCAUGCUGGAGGUAUCAGAAGUGCGAAUGCUGACAUAAGUAACGAUAAAGCGGGUGAAAAGCCCGCUCGCCGGAAGACCAAGGGUUCCUGUCCAACGUUAAUCGGGGCAGGGUGAGUCGACCCCUAAGGCGAGGCCGAAAGGCGUAGUCGAUGGGAAACAGGUUAAUAUUCCUGUACUUGGUGUUACUGCGAAGGGGGGACGGAGAAGGCUAUGUUGGCCGGGCGACGGUUGUCCCGGUUUAAGCGUGUAGGCUGGUUUUCCAGGCAAAUCCGGAGAAUCAAGGCUGAGGCGUGAUGACGAGGCACUACGGUGCUGAAGCAACAAAUGCCCUGCUUCCAGGAAAAGCCUCUAAGCAUCAGGUAACAUCAAAUCGUACCCCAAACCGACACAGGUGGUCAGGUAGAGAAUACCAAGGCGCUUGAGAGAACUCGGGUGAAGGAACUAGGCAAAAUGGUGCCGUAACUUCGGGAGAAGGCACGCUGAUAUGUAGGUGAAGCGACUUGCUCGUGGAGCUGAAAUCAGUCGAAGAUACCAGCUGGCUGCAACUGUUUAUUAAAAACACAGCACUGUGCAAACACGAAAGUGGACGUAUACGGUGUGACGCCUGCCCGGUGCCGGAAGGUUAAUUGAUGGGGUCAGCGCAAGCGAAGCUCUUGAUCGAAGCCCCGGUAAACGGCGGCCGUAACUAUAACGGUCCUAAGGUAGCGAAAUUCCUUGUCGGGUAAGUUCCGACCUGCACGAAUGGCGUAAUGAUGGCCAGGCUGUCUCCACCCGAGACUCAGUGAAAUUGAACUCGCUGUGAAGAUGCAGUGUACCCGCGGCAAGACGGAAAGACCCCGUGAACCUUUACUAUAGCUUGACACUGAACACUGGUCCUUGAUGUGUAGGAUAGGUGGGAGGCUUUGAAGUGUGGACGCCAGUCUGCAUGGAGCCGUCCUUGAAAUACCACCCUUUAAUGGCUGGUGUUCUAACGUGGGCCCGUAAUCCGGGUUGCGGACAGUGUCUGGUGGGUAGUUUGACUGGGGCGGUCUCCUCCUAAAGAGUAACGGAGGAGCACGAAGGUUGGCUAAUCCUGGUCGGACAUCAGGAGGUUAGUGCAAUGGCAUAAGCCAGCUUGACUGCGAGCGUGACGGCGCGAGCAGGUGCGAAAGCAGGUCAUAGUGAUCCGGUGGUUCUGAAUGGAAGGGCCAUCGCUCAACGGAUAAAAGGUACUCCGGGGAUAACAGGCUGAUACCGCCCAAGAGUUCAUAUCGACGGCGGUGUUUGGCACCUCGAUGUCGGCUCAUCACAUCCUGGGGCUGAAGUAGGUCCCAAGGGUAUGGCUGUUCGCCAUUUAAAGUGGUACGCGAGCUGGGUUUAGAACGUCGUGAGACAGUUCGGUCCCUAUCUGCCGUGGGCGCUGGAGAACUGAGGGGGGCUGCUCCUAGUACGAGAGGACCGGAGUGGACGCAUCACUGGUGUUCGGGUUGUCAUGCCAAUGGCACUGCCCGGUAGCUAAAUGCGGAAGAGAUAAGUGCUGAAAGCAUCUAAGCACGAAACUUGCCCCGAGAUGAGUUCUCCCUGAGACUUAGAGUCUCCUGAAGGAACGUUGAAGACGACGACGUUGAUAGGCCGGGUGUGUAAGCGCAGCGAUGCGUUGAGCUAACCGGUACUAAUGAACCGUGAGGCUUAACC
rnacentral:rRNA from 1 species